rnacentral:rRNA from 1 species
ACAGGAUUCCCCUAGUAACGGCGAGUGAAGCGGGAAGAGCUCAAAUUUGAAAUCUGGCGGUCCUCGCGGCCGUCCGAGUUGUAGUCUAGAGAGGCGUAUUCCGCGGCGGACCACGUACAAGUCCUUUGGGAUGAGGCGUCAUAGAGGGUGAGAAUCCCGUCCAUGACGUGGACUACCGUCGCUUUGCGUUGCGCCUUCGAAGAGUCGAGUUGUUUGGGAAUGCAGCUCAAAACGGGUGGUAAAUUCCAUCUAAAGCUAAAUACAGGCGAGAGACCGAUAGCGAACAAGUACCGUGAGGGAAAGAUGAAAAGAACUUUGGAAAGAGAGUUAAACAGUACGUGAAAUUGCUGAUAGGGAAACGCUUGAAGUCAGUCGUCUCGGCGAGGACUCAGCCCGGCUUUUGUCGGGUGCACUUCCUCCGUCGAGGGGUCAGCGUCGGUUUCGGGCGCCGGAGAAGGGUGGGGGGAAUGUGGCACCUCCGGGUGUGUUAUAGCCCCCCGCCGGACACGGCGCCUGGGACCGAGGACCGCGGCGCGUUUCGGCGCGUCUAGGAUGCUGGCAUAAUGGCUUUAAACGACCCGUCUUGAAACACGGACCAAGGAGUCUAACAUGCUCGCGAGUGUUCGGGUGGAAAACCCUUGCGCGUAAUGAAAGUGAAAGGUUGGGACCGCGCGAGCGGGCACCGACGCCCGACCCUGACGUUCUCUGACGGGUUUGAGGUAGAGCGAGUAUGCUGGGACCCGAAAGAUGGUGAACUAUGCCUGAAUAGGGUGAAGCCAGAGGAAACUCUGGUGGAGGCUCGUAGCGAUUCUGACGUGCAAAUCGAUCGUCAAAUUUGGGUAUAGGGGCGAAAGACUAAUCGAACCAUCUAGUAGCUGGUUCCUGCCGAA